ACAGAUUGUUCUACAUCAUUUAUUUCGUCAACAUGGAACAGAACUUGUGGUCUCUGGAGAUGGUUAGUCUUCUCGAGUGUAACUAAUAAAAAUAACGAAAAUGCUGAUUGUCCAGGCCAAAAAUUUCCACCUCGGCCGUCGGAUUUGGAAAAAAAAUAUAUAUAUAUGGGAUCUGGGGGCUGAGGGUUACCCUGUUUCUGAGCCUGGCUCAGAAGCAGAACUCUAAAAAUAAAUAACCAAAAAACACUAUAUACCAUAUCCUUUGUUUGAUUCCUUAUAAAAUUUUAAUAUAUUUUUCUUUUUUCUUUCAAUCCUACAUUUUUCAAUAAAUUAAUAUUAUAUCUAAAUUUAAAAUUUUUUCUUAUUUUUUUAAUCACGUAUUCUCCAAAAAUUAUUAUUCCAAAAUACAUUUUACUCAAAUUUUUUAUUAUAACGGUUGUCAAACAACUGAACAAAGGUAAUAACAUACAUUUAUAAAUGUAAAAAUGCAUAAAACAUGAAAGAAACGACAAAAUAUGUUUAAAAAUUUACUAAGAGAACUGGAUCUUAAAAUUAAUUAGCAAGAACUUCCCAAAUCAAUUCCGGGUCGAAAGAUGGGAUCCGAGAAAGUGAACAACAUUCAAGCUCCGAAUCCAUCGAAGAAACCGAGGAAGGUGAAUUCUCACCCUUCCAAAACCCAUCUUCAGAAAUACUUGGCGAAACCAUUUCCAUUGAAGAUGAAUUAUGAUCAACUUUAUUUUCUUCUACUUUUUCACUUUUUUUGGCUGCCUUUUUAGCUUUUUCUCUCUUUACCUUUUGGUAAAUUGCUUGAAUUUUGGCAUCUACAGCAUUCGUCAGAGCAGUCAAUCUGGCGCCAUCGCAAAAUCCCAAUUCACUUGGGUCCUUUACAUUUGGAAAAUUCAGGCGAGCAUAUUCGCCGCGGAGUCUAUAGGCGGCACGGUCAUAAGCAUAGGCAGCAGCCUCAGCGGAGUCGUAAGUUCCCAACCAAACUCUAAUUCUGUUAUGUGGAAGUCUAAUUUCCGCCACCCAUUUGCCCCAAUGCCUCUGUCGGACUCCUCUAUAUAGCUUUUUCUUGCUUUGGCUAAAAUAAUUUUUUGGAUGAACCGGUUCUUGAGGUGGGUUUGGGAGGGAAAUUUUGGCAAAUGAAGUGUUUGGUUUAUUAUCAUGGCAUAAUUUUUGAAACAAGUCCCUUUGUCUUAGGUAUACUGAAGAGCCUAAUGGCUGGAAAACAGGGACGUUAUCAAGGUUUGAUGAUUGUUGGCAAUGGGAAAAAAUUGAAUCCAAG
rnacentral:lncRNA from 1 species